rnacentral:rRNA from 1 species
GGAGGAAAAUGGAGGUAAUGAAGGAAGCAAACGAGGGGGAAAACGAAAGGCAAACCUGUGGUGGUAUGAGAGAACCGAAGAAGAGAAGAGGAGAGGAAGACAACAACAACAACGACGACGACGACGAGCCCUCGUUACCCAUGAGGAUCAGGAUGGGGGAUGGUGGAGGUCAGAGGUUCCUGGUAGCAGUGGUUCUAGUAGUCGUACUUCGUCGUCGUCCUCCUCGGCCGCUGCGGCCUAGGCGGCGGCAGGUUCUAGUAUGACGUCGGCGCCGUGGCCUGGUGGGGCCGCUACACCACGCCGCGGUAGCGGCCGAAGCGGAAGUCGCAGGAGGAGUAGGAGCGGCCGGAGCAGUAGGAGUAUCAGAUGGAGAGACACUUCGGCUCCUGCGGCAGGAAGCUGUAGCGGUUGCGGCAGGAGUUGUGGCAGAUGCAGCCGAGCGGCAGCCGGAUGAAGUUGCCGCUGUACUGCGACCACCGGUUGUAGAGGUUGGGGUUGGUGUUCUACCCGCAGCAGUAGGUCAGGCCGCGGCAGCUCGAGAAGAAGGCCCCGUCCGAGCACAGCCACGUCCGCGACGGCGGGAAGCGCGUCGGCGCCCCGGUGAAGUGCCACGAGUUGCAGGUGUACGACAGGUCGGUCCACCGCGACGGCGGCCUCCACCGGCGCCUGGACGAGUUGGUCUACUCCUCGUUGUUCUAGGAGAUGUGGUAGUCUCCCUGGAAGUUCCAGGCCCUUUCCAAGACCAGAACCGUGAUGUGGAUGGCCAACUGGCGGUAAACACUGGAGCUCGAGUGGAGCGGAGGGAGACCUCAAGAAGAACUAUCCUCUACGUGUUGUAGUUUCACUAAUCAUUAACCAGAGACCUAGGUACGAGAAAACUAGAGUAAACAAAGAACAUAGUUUAACAUCUCCUUAACCCAGUUCCGUAUCGUUUCGUUUGUAUGAUCAUGAUACUGAAUGAUCACACCAAACUCCAACACCGAAAGUGUAAAGAACAAAUGUUCUAGCUAGCCAUCGACGGAAUGACGACCUCGGAGUUUCGGAAGGACGUUGUACAUGUCGCCGUCCGUUACUGUAUCUACUAUGGUCUACCGAAACCACUAAGAGGCAUCGAGAGAGACAACGUUUACCGCAGAGCCCGGGAAAUAUUUCACACGAACACAACUAGCAUGGUCUACGGUAGAAGAGGGUACAAAGGAGACAAUGCGGAGGUCAACUAAACCAAACUAUAGGUGCGAAGUAUAAAAGUAUAUAUCUAAAUAAAGGAAGGCAGUUCACCAGGUAAAGGGCGCUUUGGUUUAAUUCGUAACCCUAAACAUUAGAAAACAUUAAUAAUCAGAAAUGACUAUCCUAAUCUCACUAUAAAAUUCUUAUAGACCCUACUAAACCAAAUUUGUUGCCACUUUACUCACAUUUUUAUGUGAGUAGUUGGAGGGUUUCGAAUUUGGAACCAACAGGAGCUCGUUCUUUGUUUUAGCAUUCACUAAGUUAAAACAUUUGGCUUUAUUAUACUUCCAAAACUAAGUGAAUGCUAACCAUACUGGUCUAUCGGGAGGUGAAAGAAGUGGACUUUUCAAUCGUACCG